CCUGCCUCUGCAGAUCAGGAUGCAGUCUACACCCCAUGACUGGCUUCCAAUCCAAGGCACCAUGAACAGGAAUCAUUAGAGCCCCUUAAGCUCAGAAAGCAGCUGCAAGCAGCUCCUCUUUGUGCCCCCUCAUGAGGGAGAAGCAGGAGGGCCAAGAAUGUACUGUUACAGACCAGACUUCCUGCCUCAGGUGCCCUCUGACCUUCAGUAAUUGCAGCUUCGGAAGUGGUUGGCUCCCCAUCUAGAAAAUGGAGAUAAUGAGCCUCAACUUCUUGGGGCUAUUGAAGAUUUAAUUGAUUCAUGGUGGUGAAGCAGUUGGCAAUCCUCACCCGGAAUUCCGUGGAGGCUGCUCUGGCAACAAGGCCAUUGGACUUAGAACAUAGGACUGAAAGAGGCUGUAGGACGUGAAGACAGUGGAAAGGCUUCUGAUGGAAGGACAUGGCAAACAAG